rnacentral:rRNA from 1 species
UACGUAGGGCGCAAGCGUUGUCCGGAAUUAUUGGGCGUAAAGAGCUCGUAGGCGGUUUGUCGCGUCUGUUGUGAAAACUCGAGGCUCAACCUCGGGCUUGCAGUGGGUACGGGCAGACUAGAGUGUGGAAGGGGCAAUCGGAAUUCUUGGUGUAGCGGUGAAAUGCGUAGAUAUCAAGAGGACCACCUGAGGUGAAGACGGGUUGCUGGGCCAACACUGACGCUGAUGCGCGAAAGCCAGGGGAGCAAACGGG